rnacentral:misc_RNA from 1 species
AAAAAAAAAAAAAAAAAAGUCUCAAACCCAACAGUUGCAUAAUUAUUCUGCUCUGCACCAACAAAGCAGCGGUUUCCUUUUCACCAACACUGCCCAAAACUGACACAUAGAUAUAGAGAGAGAUUGAGAUUUUUUUCUUUUUUUAUAAAGUUUAAAUAAACAAACGCCACCGGUCCACCACCUACCCUGACUCUCUCUCUCUCUCUCCAUAGGCUCGAAAACUCCAUGCCUCUCCGUUUCUCUGUGUUGGUGUGUGUGUGUUAUGUAAACUUAUAAUUCUCUUCUGCUUGAAGCAAUCAAGCAAAUGUCUUAAAUACUUCAAAAAAACCCGAAGUUCUGACCUUGUUUCAUCAAAUUUUUUUUCCUUUUGGUGUCGCAAAAUGGCAACGGCACACACUUCCCAUUUUAACACAGACCACCAUUUGAGCCGUAGCAGCUGUGACAUGUCGUUCUCUGGAGAGAUUGGUGCCCACAGAGACUCUUCAGCGUCAGAUUUCUUGUCGGGGGUGGACUUGGAGAGUGGGGUUUUGGAGGGGAAACCGCAUUUGGAUGGUAAAACUGAGAGAGAUUGUAGAAUUUGCCAUUUGGGUUUGGAGGGUAAUGAGCGAGAGAAUGGGGCAGCCAUUGACUUGGGGUGUUCGUGUAAGGGUGAUUUGGGUGCUGCGCAUAAAAAAUGUGCAGAGACUUGGUUCAAGAUCAAGGGUAACAUGAUAUGCGAGAUAUGUGGUGUCCCUGCAGUCAAUGUCGCAGGUGAACAGGCAAAUGAGGCACACAGCGCUGCUGCCCCUGUUUCAUCAGCGCCAAUGGCACCUCUAAUCCUUGUGGAAUCACGAACAUUCUGGCAUAGCCGACGCAUUAUGAAUCUCUUGCUUGCUUGCAUGGUCUUUGCAUUUGUCAUUUCUUGGCUCUUCCACUUUAAAGUCCUUUCAUGAGUCAACCCAAAAGAAGUAGCCCAAGGGAUAAGGUGUCACCCCCCCAAUCUAUCAAGCGGUUGUUUUGGUAUCUUAUACGUACCUAUCCUCAAUUAUCCUUAUAUUUCUUGCUUAGAGGUGGUGCCACAUUAGCACGUUAUUAUGUGUACUUUGCAUGUUGUAUCAAAUGUCAUGUAUAAUUUCUGGUUUGUCCUACGUAACAUUGUUUGAACACUCCCCAAUCGAAAGAAAAGUUGGUCUUAUGACUGUUUUGGAACCUGUGUCGGUAAGGUAUUUAAAAAAAAUUUUGCCGCCGUCUCCGGAGGACAAAUGAGUUUCUCACUUCCAUGGUCAAAACUGGGGAGCCAAGUGGUUGUUCUACUUGAUUGAAAGCAAUCUAUUCUGUUUCACCAGCUCAUCCUAUGGCAACGCUUAUAACAGUUUAGUAAUUUGGAAAGCUGUGUAAUUAAGAGAACAUGCCUCUUACUGCUUAUGGCUUACCAGAUGAUUAGCUUCAUGUUUAUCUAUGUUAAGACUUGAUAAUCAAAUU